AAAGAAUUGAGGAUAACCACUGGUGUCGAGGCGAUCCAGAUAUGCUCCUGGAGAAGGAUCGUCACUGCUCUUCCACGACGACAUAGUCCAAUACUUGCCGGUGACCAAGUUAAGGCCUAACUUCAUGCCAGCAGGCUAAGGAAUACAAAAAUUACACCAACUGAUGAUGCCAGAAUGCAAUUAUCUCCAGGUAUUACGAUGUAAGGACCCCAACCAUCACCCCAAGUCAAAAGUUGUGCUACACCAUUUUAGUUAAGUACCAAUGUCGCGAUAACUGAAGAUGUGAGGUUAUAUCCAAAGUACACCUCUUUCUUACUUGAAAAUAUUUCAUAUUUUAUAGAAAGUACUGUCUCUUGAGCUUAUUGCCCCACCAUUCCACACUCCAGAGCGAUAUAUCACAUUUGAUCCCUUCUUCAGGAUGUUCUGUGGAUAUCUUGAAGGAUCACAAUGAUAUGUAUGAUAUCACCAGGAGAUGGAUCAUCUUCAUUUUUCCAAGAGGAUAAAUACACCUCUCGUCCUGUUACAAAAUUUGGUGCAUUGAAGACAAGAACAUGAACAUAAAUAUAAUGCAAGUAAUAAUAUACAUGUUUGUGAAUUGUUUGAUUGUGUUUUAUUAAGCUUAUUAUAAGUAAUAGUAGCAUAGUUAACUAAUAAUCCAAGUUAA